rnacentral:tRNA from 1 species
GUCUGCAUGGCUCAGCUGGUUAGAGCGCCGGUCUCAUAAUCCGGAGAUCGUGAGUUCGAUCCUCACUGCGGACA